GGCGCUGUCUCCAGCAGAGACUCAGUGAAAUCGAAAUCGCAGUGAAGAUGCUGUGUACCCGCGGCUAGACGGAAAGACCCCGUGAACCUUUACUACAGCUUUACAUUGAACUUUGACCUUACCUGUGUAGGAUAGGUGGGAGGCUUUGAAGCAGGCACGCCAGUGUCUGUGGAGCCAUCCUUGAAAUACCACCCUGGUAAUGUUGGGGUUCUAACUCAAGCUUAACAGAGCUGAGGACAAUGUAUGGUGGGUAGUUUGACUGGGGCGGUCUCCUCCUAAAGAGUAACGGAGGAGUACGAAGGUGCGCUCAGAACGGUCGGAAAUCGUUCGAAGAGUAUAAAGGCAAAAGCGCGCUUAACUGCGAGACCCACAAGUCGAGCAGAUACGAAAGUAGGUCUUAGUGAUCCGGUGGUUCUG
rnacentral:rRNA from 1 species